GACGGGACCCGCACAAGCGGUGGAGUGAUGUGGUUUAAUUCGAUGCAACGCGAAAACCUUACCCACCUUGACAUGGCAGGAAUCCUAAAGAGAUUGGGAGUGCUCGAAGAGAACCUGCACACAGGUGCUGCAUGGCUGUCGUCAGCUCGUGUCGUGAGAUGUUGGGUUAAGUCCCGCAACGAGCGCAACCCUUGCCAUUAGUUGCUACGAAAGGGCACUCUAAUGGGACUGCCGGUGACAAACCGGAGGAAGGUGGGGAUGACGUCAAGUCCUCAUGGCCCUUAUAGGUGGGGCUACACACGUCAUACAAUGGCCGGUACAAAGGGUCGCCAACCCGCGAGGGGGAGCCAAUCCCAUAAAGCCAUUCGUAGUCCGGAUCGCAGUCUGCAACUCGACUGCGUGAAGUCGGAAUCGCUAGUAAUCGUGGAUCAGAAUGUCACGGUGAAUACGUUCCCGGGUCUU
rnacentral:rRNA from 1 species